GCGCCCGUAGCUCAGUUGGAUAGAGUACUGCCCUCCGAAGGCAGGGGUCAGAGGUUCGAAUCCUCUCGGGCGCGCCA
rnacentral:tRNA from 1 species